CGGGGGCGAGUUGGGAGGUCAUCUGGGCCUCCUGGUAGCCUCCCUGAGUUCAACCAAUCCAGUGAGGAGAAGCCGUGGGCGGGGCGGCCUCGACUGCCAGAGCGGCGUGAAAAAUUUCCCAAGGCAGAGCGAAAACCUUUCCUGAGCGACUGAGCAUGCCCGGUGGUGAAAGUAUAUUCCAUGCUUGGGGUGAAGACGUCUCUCUCUUGCUGGCCAUGAAAAAGAAAACACAAAGCUUCAGGACUGUUGGCUGCCAUCUUGGAGCUAUGAGGCGAACCAGCCUUAGAAUGAACCCAGAUGCUGAGGACAGUAGCACAGAGGAAUGGAAACAGCUUGCAUCUAUGAUGCCAUCUUUGAGCUGAUAACCAUACUGCAUCUGGAUCCUCAUUCAAUCUCUGGGUUUACAGUUACAGGAGGGUAUGUGGUUUAAACUCUCCACGGACUGACAAAAUCAUGUUUCUGACUCUGCAAAGCUAAGAAGACUCUGCUCCUGGAAGGCCUCUCCACUGACAGACUGAGUCAUAUUCGAAAUAUUUACCAACAGACUGAACAACUGAACAGAACAGACAACGUGCCUGGCUGUUACGCUGUCUAGGUGAAGGGAAACCAAAUGACCAGCUCAAGGACCCAUGCUAGGUGGAACCACGAGGAGCACAGGACCCAGACCACAUGACUUCCAGCUUGCUGCAUUCCUCUUUGUCCAGUCAAAGCCUCCUUAGCUGUGGGCAGGCUGCUGGUCGUCGGAGAAGCUGCCUGCAAAGAUGCUGGGACAUGCUUUUUAUGAACCAGGAAUCCAGGACAAAGGUAUACCUUCGGGAGAUUGCAAUUUUUGUUCCAGACCAUCACAAUAAAUACGCGGGCCUCUCACUGUUGUGGCCUCUCCCGUUGCAGAGCACAGGCUCCGGACGCGCAGGCUCAGCGGCCAUGGCUCACGGGCCCAGCCGCUCCGCGGCACGUGGGAUCUUCCCAGACCGGGCACGAACCCGUGUCCCCUGCAUCGGCAGGUGGACUCUCAACCACUGCGCCACCAGGGAAGCCCAUCUCAGCGCCUUUUAAUACGCUCCUGAGUGUGGUCUGGAGGUGAGUGUUCCACGAUCCGUAAGGAUUCCGAGCUACCGGAGACUCCAGUUCUUGUCUUGUUGCUCCACCAUCCCUCGGGCAUGGCCCUUGUCUGAAUGAAUAUUUGACCACACAUGGGUGGAUGGAUAUUCCAGCCAGGAGGACUGAGGGUCCCUGUCCUGACUUCCGGAGCUUACAAUGAAAUGAACUGAGCCAGAGAGGAUGCUACGGCAGAGAGAGACAAUGGCCAGCGUGACAGAAGGGAUUCAUCUAAGAUUCUUUCCCAUUAUAGGUUAUUACAAGAUAUUGAAUAUAGUUCCCUGUGCUAUACAGUGACAUAGAAAGAGAAGAAGGAAAAUUACACAUCAGGAAAGGCCCCGAAUGUAAGACAGCAAACAGACACAGUGAAAUCUAAACCAGGGUCAGUGACCUUCUUUCCAAGUUGGAUCCUCAAUGGGAGGGUGAGAACGGAGGGGCUGCUUUAUGGAAAUCUGCUGAGGCCCCCCGGGGAGCAGUGAAUGUGCCGUCAUCACCCCCUCCCUCCCCGUCAGCACCCCACCUUCGCGCCCUGCCCAGACACAGUUCUCUUACAGAAAAGUAGGAUAAUAAGGCCAUAAUGUUGUUUUCCAGAGGUGAGUGAAAACACCUUAAAUGUGUUACUGGUAUUUGGGGGAAAGGGAGAUUAGGCUGGGGGUGGUGCCCGGGAAGGGUGGUGGGUACCCUCAUUGAACCUCGGGAUGAAACUCUCCGGGCCCUAACACUGCCUGCCCCCUGGCAGAAACAUCACAGAGGUCUCAGAAGCGGCUUUGAGGCUUUUCCGGGGCUCGGAGAUGAUCCUUUGGAGCCCAGGCUCCGAAGGAAUUUAUCCUCCUCAUGCAGCCCUUCAGACAGAUGAAGGCAGUGUCUGAAACCUCCCCCUACUCUCCC